AGUCACCUAAGAAACCACCUCCAGUAGACGGACACAGCCCCCAGUUGAGGGAAUGCAGAAAAACACAAGUGACAUGAGUCCUUCACUGCCUCAGGGAGUGCCUUAGAUUCUCAGGAGCUGAAAGGCAUACAGUGCACAGGAGCCAUGGACUCUAACCUAAAAUGCCUAUGAUAUGUGCCUCUCAAGGCAGCGAGACCAGGCCAACUCCAUGAUUACCCACUAAAAUCAAUCAUCAGAAAAAUUGAUAAUAGGUAAGUGAUGCAUAAAUUUAUAAAAAACAAAACAGAUGAUAGUUCGAUAGAUAAAUGGAUAGACAAGUAGUUAAAUAAAUGACAAUUGAUAAAUUAUAGAUAAUAACUUAUGAAAAGUAAAGUUUAACACCAUAUCUCUACCUGCCUACUGCUACCACUAUCUAAAUAAUAAGUCAGUAAUGAAAUUAUCAGAAUUUAUUUUGCCCACGGUUAUUGUAGUGGCUAUUCCUGGUUAUCAACUUGAUGAUAUCUGGAAUGAAUUAUAAUCCAGAAUUGGAAGGCUCACCUGUGAUCCUGACAUUAGGCUGGGAGAUACAAGUUUCUGGCCUGGAUCUUGGUAUGGACAUCUUGAGGCAUAGUGGUUAUAAACCCCAGGAGACUAAGGCAAGGAGAUCUCUAAGUUCAAAGUCAUCUGGACAAAGCAAGUUCCAGAUCCAGGUGUAGUGGUACACUUCUUUAGUUUGGGACACACCUUCUGCUGGAGACCUACAUAAGGACAUUGGAAGAAAAAGACUCUUUUUUGCCUGCCUGCCUUGUGGGACUGAGCUACUGCUAGAUUCUUGGACUUCCAUUCACAGGGGCUCCUCACCAUUGUUGGGGAGUUGGACUACAGACUGUAAGUCACCAACAAAUUCUCUUAUUAUAUAGAGAUUACCCAUAAGUUCUGUGACUCUAGAGAACCGUGACUAAUAUAGUUACUUUUUCUGAAAAAAAAAUCUCUGUAUCUGAUUGAAAAACAGUAUGAAAGAUUACAAAAGUAACUAUGUGUAGGUCUUUACCAAUGAAGACAAUGUAAAUAUUCUAAAAGAAGAAAGUUUUAAAAAUAUGUUUGCUAUAUACCAGUUAGAUGAAAAAAUCUCUUCUUUGUUUAUCUAUAAAUUCUAGAUUUGUUUGGUUCUCACAAGAUAUUUUUAGUACCAGCACUGCAAGGAGAAGUGUAUCCUUGAGACAAUAAAGUCUGAGUGAGUUCUGAAUGUGACAUACAGAAUGCUAGCAAAGCCUAUGAUUUUCCAUAACAUAUAAAAAUUUGUAGCACCAGUAAAUGGUAGGAGUUUAAAUGGGGGUUAAAUAAUUGGUCUUUAUUUUCACUUGUGAGGCAAAUUAUUAUAAUGGAUUUUCUUCUAGAGGAGCCCUGUCGAUGGGAGCCUAGUCAAUAGAUAGGGCCACCCACUCAUCUUCAAAAUGUUUGACCCAGAAUUGUUCCUGUCUAAAGGAAAUGCAGGAACAAAAUGGACCAGAGACUGAAGGAAAGACCAUCCAGUGACCUUCCAAAUUUGGGAUCCAUCCCAUGGACAGGCACCAAACCCUGACACAAUCACUGAUGCCAUGUUGUCCUCACAGACAGGAGCCUAGCAUGGCUGACUUCUGAGAGUCUCUACCAGCAGCUGACUGAGACAGAUGCAGAUAUAUACUUACAUGGGGACUCUAUGGAAGAGUUAGAGGAAGAAUUGAAGGAGCUGAGUGGAAUAGCAAUCUCAUAAGAACAACAACAAUAUCAACUAACCUGUACCCCUGGGAGCUCCCAGAAACUAAGCCAUCAAACAAAGAUCAUACAUGGGCUUGUCAGUGGCCUCUGGUACAUAGAAGAAGACUGCCUUGUCUGGCCUCAGUGAGAGUGGUUGUACCUAAUUCUGUAAAGACUUGAUGCCCCAGAGACGGGGAAUGCUUGAGGUCCUUCUUCUGGAUGUAAUCAUGAUUUAUGAGCUACAAUGGAUCAGUAGCCAAAUCUCUGAAAACAUCUGUAGCAGAGCCAUCUGUUUAUACCUAAAUACCAGAUGCCAUAUAUGUUAAAAUUUAUAUUUGAUCGAAUUUUUUAAUAUGUCCAGAUAGCUCACAGCACUGCAGCCAACAAAAAGCACAAAGUGUGUCACUAAGUAAGAUGAAGUGAAUGCAUUCCACAACACUUCUCAAGUUGAUGCUCUUAAUGCUCUGACAGGAGAAAAUACCAGGAAAAAGAGUGGAGCAGAGACUGAAGAAAAGGUCACUCAGAGACUUGGGAUCCAUCCCAUAUGCUGCCAAUAAACCUAGUUACUAUUGCUGAUGCCAAGACGUGUUUGCUGACAGGAGGAGAUAUUUAUGUCUCCUGAGAGGCUCUACCAGAGACUUACUGAUAUAGAUUGUUUUCCUGCCUGCAAACUGUGAGGCUUGCUGGGUCCCUGAGAAGUUGUCUGUUUGAAGGCUCUAGCUAAGACUUCAAGUGCUAUACUGAAAAGCAUCCCAACAAAACCACAGGCUCAAGGCCAAGCAAAGGCAAUGAAAGGAGGAGCUUCUUGUGGCUGCGAAGGAGGAGCUUAUUGUGGUCGCGAAGGAGGUGUUUCUUGCUGUUGUGAGUGGGGCACAGUCUUCCAGCAUCUCAGGUGGUUUCUACUAGCAAGGGGAGGAAGUCAAGACUUCCCACCUUUGGUUGGAAUGAAGGAAGAAAGAAGGAAAAAUUCCAUUCCUCAGAGGAUGCAGAUGCUCUCUGAAGGAAAGAUCCUGGAG